CAAUGAAGGAAGUCUGGUAAUGUACACAUAAAUUGAAUUGGGUCUCUAGACCUGUCAUCUUUGAUGCCAUUUAGCUUUGAUUUGGAGGUAUGGUUCCGCAGCAAAACA